GACGAACGCUGGCGGCGUGCCUAAUACAUGCAAGUCGAACGCAGUGGGGACGGGUGAGUAACACGUGGGUAACCUCCCAUCAGAGGGGAUAACACUUGGAAACAGGUGCUAAACCGAUACUGAUGGAUGGACCCGCGGUGCAUUAGCUAGUUGGUGAGGUAACGCCUCACCAAGGCCACGAUGCAUAGCCCACCUGAGAGGGAGUGCGGCAAAACGGGGACUGAGACACGGCCCAGACGCCGACGGAGGGCAGCAGUAGUGAAUCUUCGGCAAUGGACGAAAGUCUGACCGAGCAACGCCGGGUGAGUGAAGAAGGUUUUCGGAUCGUAAAACUCUGUUGUUAGAGAAGCGGUAUCUAACCAGAAAGCCACGGCUAACUACGUGCCAGCAGCCGCGGUAAUUC
rnacentral:rRNA from 1 species